CAAAAUGUAGCUUAAAUAAAGCAUCUCGCUUACACCGAGGAAAUGUCCGAUAACCCCAGACCAUUUUGA
rnacentral:tRNA from 1 species